AUACGGAGGGGGCAAGCGUUGUUCGGAAUUACUGGGCGUAAAGGGCGCGUAGGCGGCUAAUUAAGUCAAAUGUGAAAUCCCCGAGCUUAACUUGGGAAUUGCAUUCGAUACUGGUUAGCUAGAGUGUGGGAGAGGAUGGUAGAAUUCCAGGUGUAGUGGUGAAAUGCGUAGAGAUCUGGAGGAAUACCGAUGGCGAAGGCAGCCAUCUGGCCUAACACUGACGCUGAGGUGCGAAAGCAUGGGGAGCAAACAGGAUUAGAAACCCCGGUAGUCC
rnacentral:rRNA from 1 species